AAGAAAAUGAAGAAAAAACAAAUGUUAAUAUGCUGUACAAAAAAAAUAGAGAAGAAUUAGAAAGGAAAGAGAAACAAUAUAAGAAAGAAGUUGAAGCAAAACAACUUGAACCAACUGUUCAGUCACUAGAGAUGAAAUCAAAGACUGCAAGAAAUACUCCAAAUCGGGAUUUUCAUAAUCAUGAAGAAAUGAAAGGUCUGAUGGAUGAAAAUUGCAUUUUGAAGGCAGAUAUUGCUAUACUCAGACAGGAAAUAUGUACAAUGAAAAAUGACAACUUGGAAAAAGAAAAUAAAUAUCUUAAGGACAUUAAAAUUGUUAAAGAAACAAAUGCUGCCCUUGAAAAGUAUAUAAAACUCAAUGAGGAAAUGAUAACAGAAACAGCAUUCCGGUAUCAACAAGAGCUUAAUUAUCUCAAGGCUGAGAAUACAAGGCUCAAUGCCGAACUGUUGAAGGAAAAAGAAAGCAAGAAAAGACUGGAAGCUGACAUUGAAUCUUAUCAGUCUAGACUGGCUGCUGCUAUAAGCAAACACAGUGAAAGUGUGAAAACAGAAAGAAACCUAAAACUUGCUUUAGAGAGAACACGAGAUGUUUCUGUACAAGUAGAAAUGAGUUCUGCUAUUUCCAAAGUAAAAGAUGAGAAUGAGUUUCUUACUGAACAACUUUCUGAAACACAAAUUAAAUUCAAUGCCUUAAAAGAUAAGUUCCGUAAGACAAGAGAUAGUCUCAGAAAAAAGUCAUUGGCUUUAGAAACUGUACAAAACGACCUAAGCCAAACACAGCAGCAAACACAGGAAAUGAAAGAGAUGUAUCAAAAUGCAGAAGCUAAAGUGAAUAAUUCCACUGGAAAGUGGAACUGUGUAGAAGAGAGGAUAUGUCACCUCCAACGUGAAAAUGCGUGGCUUGUACAGCAACUAGAUGACGUUCAUCAGAAAGAGGAUCAUAAAGAGAUAGUAACUAAUAUCCAAAGAGGCUUUAUUGAGAGUGGAAAGAAAGACCUCGUGCUAGAAGAGAAAAGUAAGAAGCUAAUGAAUGAAUGUGAUCAUUUAAAAGAAAGUCUCUUUCAGUAUGAGAGAGAGAAAACAGAAGGAGUAAUAUAAGAAACUCCUGGAAAUGACAAUAAAUAUGUUAAAUGUAUUUGGAAAUGAAGACUUUGAUUGCCAUGGAGACUUAAAAACAGAUCAACUGAAAAUGGAUAUUCUGAUUAAGAAGCUAAAACAGAAGUUUGAUGAUCUUACGGCAGAGAAGGAAGCUUUAUCUUCAAAAUGUGUCAAUUUGGCUAAAGACAAUCAAGUUCUUCAACAGGAGUUUUUAUCUAUGAAAAAAGUACAACAGCAAUGUGAGAAACUUGAGGAGGAUAAAAAGAUGUUGAAAGAAGAAAUAUUAAAUCUUAAGACACAUAUGGAAAACAAUAGGGUAGAACUUAGUAAACUACAAGAAUAUAAAUUGGAGCUAGAUGAAAAGGCAGUGCAGGCAGUAGAAAAAUUAGAAGAAAUCCAUUUACAGGAACAAGCACAAUAUGAAAAACAAUUAGAGCAGUUAAACAAGGAUAAUAUGGCUUCACUAAAUAAAAAGGAACUCACACUUAAAGAUGUGGAAUGUAAAUUCUCAGAAAUGAAAACUGCUUAUGAAGAGGUUACAACCGAAUUAGAAGAAUAUAAGGAAGCCUUUGCAGCAGCAUUGAAAGCUAACAAUUCCAUGUCAAAAAAAUUAACAAAAUCAAAUAAGAAAAUAGCAGUGAUCAGCAUGAAGCUCCUUAUGGAGAAAGAGCAGAUGAAAUAUUUUCUCAGUGCUCUUCCUACAAGGCGAGACCCAGAGUCACCUUGUGUUGAAAAUCUUACUAGUAUAGGACUCAACAGAAAAUAUAUUCCCCAAACACCCAUAAGAAUUCCUAUUUCAAGCCCACAGACUUCAAAUAACUGCAAGAACUCCUAGACUAUGGAGCUGGACUGUGUAGAACAAAUAACUAGAGAAACAAAGAGAAUUGUUGCUGUGUUGAACACUUGCUCCCGUCUACUUACUUCUCUAUAAUCCACUGCCAUGGAAUGAGUGAUUUUUCUUAGAAGCAGAGGUGGAGCCACUGAGGAAGCACAGGCGAGCCCUCCCCAGCACGUGCUCACUGGUCCCCAACAGAACAACCGCUGCCACAUCCAUGAGGCUCCCAUUGUGGUGGGUUGUGUCACCCCACAAUGUCACUGUUGCUGAGCCCCCAUCGCCUCUGUGUUGUGGAGCAGUUAGAGACACACUGUGGUGUCUGAGUGGCUCUGCGUGAAGGACCGUUUUCUAGGUGAGAGGCACAUCUCAACACAGCUGACUGAUCAGACUCAGCCGUUUUGCACACCCUGGUCAGAAUGAAACAUUCCUUGGGAACUCGGGCCGUGAGAAGCAUCCUUCCUGAUCACCUGACUGUAGAAACAUCCUUAUCGCACCCUCCCGGGCAAAGGCCCAACAGCCUGACUGCAGGAACAUCCUUGCCAUAUCCUGCCGGGCAGCAAGCUCUACCGCCCACACCCCUCCUUCCCAGUCCCAUGAUCACCCCAGCCUGUGAGAGGCAGUUGGUGCUGGCAGUAAGCUGGUUUCCUCCUCUGCAGGGUUUUGCUAGUAAUAAA
ensembl:lncRNA novel transcript